GGACUACGGAGAAUUGAACAGAUUUUUCCUUUUCCCAAAUACUGUUGCGUUCCGAGGCAACCCUAGCAGCUCCUAGCAAAAAUCGGCGUCUCUCUUUGAGCCCCGGUUGUAAUUCCAAUUUAAUUUCCAUCAGUGCAAUAGCAAUGCCGAAGAAGCGAAAGCUCGACUCCAAAUCGGCCGAGGCUUCCGGCCCCGCGAAGCAGAAGCAGCAGCAGCUGCUGCGAAAGCUCGAAAAAGACAAGCAGCCUUAUUUUGUAACUGAAGAAUAUAUAGACGACGAAGACAGCGACGAAUACGAAGAAGUCGAAGAAGAAGAAGAAGAAGAAGAAGAGGAAGAAGAGGAGGAGGAGGAGGAGGAGGAAGAGGAAGAAGAAGAAGGAGAUGAGGCCGAAGAAGAAGAGGAUGAUGAAGAAGAAGAGGACGAAGAAGAAAACGGUGAUGAGCAUCCCUAUAGACUCCAGAGUAAAUCGAAAGCCUCCAUGAAGGGAUCUGCACCUGCGACUUCGCGAGACGACAACGAUGAGGACGACGAGCCCCUACAGAAGGUUCUUGAACCGUUCAGCAAGGAGCAAAUUAUAAGUCUGCUCGUCGAAGCAGCGGAUAGGCACCCUGAACUGGCGGAUCGGAUCCGAAAGGUCGCGGACGAAGAACCGGCACACCGCAAGAUAUUUGUUCACGGCCUUGGGUGGGACACCAACACGCUGACUCUCAUGAACGUGUUCAAGCAGUACGGCGAGAUCGAGGAUUGCAAGGCUGUCUGCGACAAGAUCUCUGGUAAGUCCAAGGGCUAUGGCUUCGUCAUCUUCAAGAGCCGCAGCGGGGCCCGUAAGGCCCUCAAGCAACCCCAGAAGAAGAUCGGCCACCGCAUGACCGCGUGCCAGCUGGCCUCGAUUGGCCCGAUCCCAAUGGGGAGCGCCACCGGAGCGACUCCCAUGCCGCCUGGUCCACUAUCGGAAUAUACGCAGAGGAAGAUAUACGUGAGCAAUGUUGGGGCUGAGUUGGAUAUUCAGAAGCUGCUAAUGUUCUUUGCCAAGUACGGAGAGAUUGAGGAAGGGCCAUUGGGGCUUGAUAGGGCGACCGGGAAACCAAAGGGGUUUUGUUUAUUCGUUUACAAGACUGCUGAGAGUGCGAAGAAGGCUCUGGAAGAGCCGCACAAAAAUUUCGAGGGCCAUAUAUUGCACUGCCAGAGGGCUAUUGAUGGUCCCAAGCCGAACAAGCCUCAGCAGCUUCAACAACAUCCUCAGAACCCGCAAAAUGCUCAGUUCCAGAGGAAUGAGAACCCUGGUUUUAUUGGCGGAGCUGCUGUGGCCGCAGUGCCUGGUCACUUGAUGGCUCCGCCUGCUUCGGCGGGAAUUGGUUUUAAUCAAGGGGCUGCGGCGGCUCAGGCGCUGAAUCCUGCACUUGGGCAGGCAAUCACGGCCUUGCUUGCAACACGGGGUGCCGGAUUUGGGCUGACUAAUUUGUUGGGGACUCUAGGAUCCGCUGCAGCUGUGAAUCCAGGUGUGCCCGCUGCGGGGCAUGGGAUACAGGGUGUUUAUCAGAACCAGGCGAAUAUAAGCGCGGGACUGAUUGGAGGGUAUGCAAAUCAAGGAGUUCAGGGUGGGUACCCGAACCAGCAGAUUGGACAAAGUGGCUCUGGAAGAGGCCAGCAUGGUGUCACGCAAUAUGGUACCAUGACUCCUUACAUGGGGCAAUAGGUGUCCCGGAGUUUGGAAUGUAUUUAGCUGCACAAAAUCAUGGGAUAAAGAACAAGUGUUGGCUUACUGGUCUUAACCAUGGAGAUGGAAGUCUUGUGUUGUUUCUUGACAGAUCCCACUUAAGUGCACCAGUCUUUUAGUACUGGCCUGGUGAUUCUUCUGAAGCUUAUGGAGCUGAUGCAAAUGGCGUCUUUAUAUUAUAUGAUGAAAUGUUACUGUUUGGAAACUACAAUGACCAGAAACUUAAAACUGUCAUUUGAGGUUUCGAUUUUCUGUUCUUUUUUUAAUCUCCAUUUCUCUUUGCUUUGCUUUUAAAUUAUUGUAGUAUUUUCACCUUCAAUAUAUAGUUUAAACACUUCGGAAAUGUUUUAGGAUUUUUAAAUAACCAUCUAUCAUACAUGAUAGAGUUUGGGAGUUUAAACAAAUGCAUCUUUUAAAA